UCCCUAGUGGCUUAGUUGGUAAAGAAUCUGCCUGCAAUGCAGGAGACCCAGGUUCCAUCCCUGGAUGGGGAA
rfam:Ovis aries breed Texel chromosome 7, whole genome shotgun sequence.